GGCGGGGGAGUAGGGUGACGCUCAGCCAGCCCUGAAUCCCUGAGUUGCUGGGCGCUGCGCGGAACCUCCUUUCCCGACUGGGACGAGUGACAUGGAACUCCACAACUUUUCAUUUUUGAAGGGGGUGGAUAUAUUCAGAGCCAAACAAUUUCCGAAUGGGGGGAGCUCCAGCGUGCAUCCUCUGAGUUUAUUUGGGUGUGGGGAUGAGUUCAGCCAGGGCCAAAUAACAAACAUCCCCUGGGGGGGGGGGGGCGGUGAAGGCGCGCCUAGGGCCAUAUAUGCUCGGGUGUGUUUUGGUGGGGAAGCACUUACUUGGGUCCUGCGUUUCGGUGUAGUUGUGGAAACCCGGGACUGAUAGAGAAUGUCAAGCUUUGGGUUGGUUGGUGGUUUUUGGUGGGGCCGAAGGGGGCUUCUUUACUAUUCCGGGCCCAUAAUCAGGGUGUUUGUGGAACUUCUCAGGCCUCACUGUGCGUUGGUUUGUUGGGGAUGGGUGGAGACGAGCUUGAUGUCGGUAUAAUAGAUACACUUAGGGAGUUAUGGGGGGAGUGUCUAGAGUCCCUGGGUUUUUAGGGGGUGGGGCAGAUUUUGGCCUGGGACACACGUCUAUCAGUGAUGGUGGACUGCAUCGCUGGGGCUUACAUCUAAGCAGCUUUUUGACUAAGGGCAGGUCUGCUGCUCUGGGACCUGUGGUCCCAAGGUUUGUCUAGGCAUUCUGCUUUGUGGCAGGGAUCUCGGGUUUGUUUGUAAUGUGGGUGGCCAGUUUGGCUGAUUCCCCCUUGUCUGCUUCUCCCUUGUGCUUGGGGGUCAAACCUGUUGCCUGGAACUUAGUGGGAAACUUUGAGGGCUGUUGGGCGAUUAUCCAAAUCUCCUCUGGCAUCCUAUGGGGCCCAGGUGUCAGGACUAUAAUUUUAUUUUUAAUUUUUUGGCAAGGACAAACUGUAAACCUACCAGUAGAAUAGUACAGUGGACCCCUCCCCCCCCCACCAUGGACCUAUCGUUAUAUUCAACAUUUAUUAAUUGGCAGCCAGUCUUAUUUCAUAUACAUCCCCUCAACCCUAUGUGUGGAUACACUUUGGGUACUGUCACACCCCACAGGGCUUGACCACUAGUGACAUGACCACUGACCCAACUGCCUUGGCACUCUGCAGCUAGAGUUCAAAUCUAGGGAUUUUGUAGCUUUGUCAGCUUGAGCGAGAUUUAUAACUGCCUCAGUUUAUCCCAAGACCUAGCUUAUGUAAACGUUAACUAUUCAUAAUAAUAUUACACCUUGAGGCCCAUAGAUAGAAAAAGGAUCAGUUCCCUAUUUAUUUAUUAAAAGAAAAAUUUUUUUUAACGUUUAUUUAUUUUUGGGACAGAGAGAGACAGAGCAUGAAUGGGGGAGGGGCAGAGAGAGAGGGAGACACAGAAUUGGAAACAGGCUCCAGGCUCUGAGCCGUCAGCCCAGAGCUUGACGUGGGGCUCAAACUCACGGACCGCGAGAUCGUGACCUGAGCCAAAGUCGGACGCUUAACCGACUGCGCCACCCAGGAACCCCUCAGUUCCCUAUUUAAUAAGAGCCUAUCAGGGCAGGUUGUGUAGUGAUGCCCAUACCCAACUCUGUCCCUCAGAAGCUGUCCACGUUCUUCUCUGGCAGAUCUGAGGCUUUCUUUUUCUUUUGCCUUGAAAGGAAGAGGAGCACUCCUCACUGAAACUUGGGGAUUUCUAGCCGGGUAUCUGGGUGCUGGGAGACAGAACUGAGGUUCUCACCCUGCUUCUUUCAUCCUUGCCACCUGCUGUAUCCCUUCUUGCCCAGGGAGGACUGGUAGAGAAAGAGAGGGCUUCUGGGCUCCUGACAGCCCACUUUUGGCUGUGUACCACUCACCCUUUACAUUCCUACAGUGUCUUCCGAGCUCCGCAUCAUGGGCCGGUUUCCUUUGCCUAUUCUGACAUCUUGUGUCCUACAGUGUCCCAUUUGAGGCUCAGAUGCCUUGCUCGGUCCCCUAGGAUCCAGGACUGAUUUAAGGGCAGGAGCCUUUACAGAGAAUAUUACCCCGGACCAGAUUACCACCAUCCUUGUCCCAGCAACAUUUCUCUGUAAGUUUAUUCCCAUCCGUCUGUGUCCGGGAUGCAUUUGGAAAUGUUUAAAAAAAAUUUUUUUUCUUAAUGUUUUCAUUUAUUUUUGAGACAGAGAGAGACAGAGCAUGAGCAGGGAAGGGGCAGAGAGACAGGGAGACACAGAAUUGGAAGCAGGCUCCAGGCUCUGAGCCAUCAGCACAGAGCCCGAUGCGGGGCUCAAACUCACGGACCGCGAGAUCAUGCCCUGAGCCGAAGUCGGACGCUCAACCGACUGAGCCACCCAGGCACCCCUGGAAAUGUUUUUUAAAAGAGUGAAAGAGAGAGGCAGCGUACGAGCAGAGAGAGAGAGGGAGACACAGAAUCCGAAGACGGCUCCAGGCUCCGAGCUGUCAGCACAGAGCCCGACGCGGGGCUCAAACCCGCAAACCGUGAGAUCAUGACCUGAGCUGAAGUCGGACGCUCAACCGACUGAGCCACCCAGGCACCCCGAGGGAGAGGAUCUUAAGCCGGCUCCACACUCAGCGCAAAGCCCAACAUGGGGCUCGAUCUCAUGACCCUGGGAUCAUGACCUGAGCUGAACAAGAGUUGGACUCUCAACCAACUGAGUUUAUCUGUUGAAGGACCAAGACCGUUUGAUAUGUAGAGGUUCCUGCAGGCUGGAUUUUGCUGAUAUAUUCUCAUUGCAGAUAAAGGCAUGCAGAAAAGUUGAAAAGUUUGCUGUUCUGAAUGUCCACGUACUCGCCAGUAUGGAUGGAUAGAUGUGAUAGAACCAGUAGACCAAAAUGUUGACAACUGGGUCGUAUGUUAGCAGGAAGAUUCUCAGGUCAGCUUUGGCUCUGCACCGUGAUCAUUUACAGUAGAAACCAAAGCCCCUUCUGGGGACAUGCUUCUUUCAGAACGUGAGUGAUGGUGGAAUCAGGCAGUGCUUAGAAGUGGCACGGCGGCCUUCAGUCACAUUUCAUCGCCCAAGGCAAGUCACAAGGCCAAGCCUGAUGUCAGGGGCAGGGAGGUGCCGUCUUUGUAUAGAGAAAUAAAUAAUUGGGAACAGUGGUAAAAAUCCACCAUAAAGGCCUCUUUUAUCCUAGUCCCUAGGAUUAGCAAAAUGACUGAGAUAUGUUUCUUCUUACAAGAGGCUCAGAAUAUAGUGAAGGUAGUCAAAUAAAUAGAAACUUUGCAACGUGGUAUGAAGAAGGUGAGAUGCCCAGGUUGGACAGAAGAGGGAGUGAGUCUCUGCCUAUGGAAUUAAGGGAUGAAUCCUAAGGGGGACCUGGCCAGCCUCCAAAGAGUACUGGCAACAGGGCGACCACAGUCCUCGGGGCUGAGAUCCUGGGCGGGCCGUCCGAGUUGCUUCUGAUGGUAGUUUAGCUUCGACGCCACCUGCCUCCUUUGGGACCGCAUGAAUGGAGGAUCUCCUCUUGGGUUCAUCUGGAGACACAGAUGCACUGUUCUGAUAAGGCCAUGUGAUAAGGAAGGUGGGGGUUACCUUCACAGAGUCACUGUGAGGCCUGGAGCAUGACCUAAAGAGGAAGAACUCAGUUGAGACCCCGAGCCCUCAAGAGUUCAGGGACAUGGGAUUGAACACAGCUGGAACCAGGGCCAAGGGAGGCGGGAGCUGAGUUCUGCAUGCCCAGAUUGGUCUGGGAGGAGACAUUCUGCGCCUCUUUAUCCACAGGCAUUAUGCCACGUCUUCACUCUGACUCACGCUCCAGGGAGCAGAGACAUGGAGUUUGAAUCCGCAGCGUGAGGGUGGAUAGGAAUUGUAUAUUUUGACAGCUGAGCAAGAGGGGCGGGGGACAGACUUGAGGGCGUAGAGGCUGGAAAGGGGUGAAGUAAAGAAAUCCUAGAAGUCCUGAAGCCCGAGGCGCCAUGUUGAAUGAGGAGACGUGAGAGGACAGGGCCCCUGUCCAGGAGGCAUGGGCUCAGGGCCCAUGGUACAGCUCCCGGCAACGUUGAGUGACUUUUCCAUCGCCCAGGUCCUGGCUUCGUGGAAGCAAGAUGGGCUUUCACAAGUAAGGCUCUGAGAAGUCACCCCAGGCAGCAGAAGUUGAGACGAAGUAACUUCUCCCCGGCCCUCUGGCAGAGUUUCAAGGCAGACUCCGGGCUAUCCGUGGGGCCCCGACAUCGCCUGAUCCUUCUGCCCACUGCGAGCAGGACCUGGGGGCAGGUGUUGCCUCUGGAGGGCACUUGAGGCCAUGAAGACACAGAUCAAAAUCAUACAGCAGAAGAAAGCGAACAUAGCCAUGGGACCAGAUCGAGAUGCAGAACACUGUCACUUGUGAGCAUUACAUGCGUGUAAGCCUUCCAGUCCUCCAGUCUCCCCCGAGGAUAACUCUAUCCUGACCCCUAGCAUCACAGAUUACGCUUCCUAUUUGGUUUCUAAUGAAUGUCAUCACAUCGUCCGCACUCUUCCGCGUUUGGCUUCUUUUAUUCAACCUUGUGUCUGGGAUUCGUUUGUGGUGCCGGUUACAUUCCAGGAUGUGGCUAUGAUCUUCACAGAUUCAGAAUGGAAGGGACUGAGCUCUGAGCAGAGGAACUUACACAAAGAAGUGAUGCUGGAGAAUUACAGGAAUCUGCUCUGUUGGGUGAGGCUGUGUUCUUUCCUUUAUUUAUAUUGUCGAGAUUUGGGACGCCUUGGUGGCUCAGUCAGUUGGGCGUCUGACUUUGGUUCGGGUCAUAAUCUCCCUGUUCCUGAGUUCCAGCCUUGCAUCGGGCUCUGUCUGUGCUGACAGCUCAGGGCCUGGAGCCUGCUUCAGAGUCUGUGUCUCCCUCU